AGUCAAGUAAUUAAGUGCAUGUGGUGGAUGCCUUGGCAGUCAGAGGCGAUGAAAGACGUGAUAGCCUGCGAAAAGCUCCGGGGAGGCGGCAAAUAUCCUUUGAUCCGGAGAUGUCUGAAUGGGGGAACCCACCUACUUUAAGGUAGGUAUUGCAACAUGAAUACAUAGUGUUGCAAGGCGAACGAGGGGAAGUGAAACAUCUCAGUACCCUUAGGAAAAGAAAUCAAUUGAGAUUCCCUCAGUAGCGGCGAGCGAACGGGGAUCAGCCCAUUAAGUUAUGUGUGUUUUAGUGGAACGCUCUGGGAAGUGCGAACGUAGAGGGUGAUAUUCCCGUACACGAAAGGGCACACAUAAUGAUGACGAGUAGGGCGAGGCACGUGAAACCUUGUCUGAAUAUGGGGGGACCAUCCUCCAAGGCUAAAUACUCCUGACUGACCGAUAGUGAACCAGUACCGUGAGGGAAAGGCGAAAAGAACCCCUGUGAGGGGAGUGAAAUAGAUCCUGAAACCGCAUGCAUACAAGCAGUGGGAGCACCUUCGUGGUGUGACUGCGUACCUUUUGUAUAAUGGGUCAGCGACUUAUAUUCAGUAGCGAGGUUAACCGUAUAGGGGAGCCGUAGAGAAAUCGAGUCUUAAUAGGGCGUUUAGUUGCUGGGUAUAGACCCGAAACCAGGCGAUCUAUCCAUGAGCAGGUUGAAGGUUGGGUAACACUAACUGGAGGACCGAACCCACUGUCGUUGAAAAGCCAGGGGAUGACUUGUGGAUAGGGGUGAAAGGCUAAUCAAGCCUGGUGAUAGCUGGUUCUCCCCGAAAGCUAUUUAGGUAGCGCCUCGGACGAAUACCAUAGGGGGUAGAGCACUGUUUCGGCUAGGGGGUCAUCCCGACUUACCAAACCGAUGCAAACUCCGAAUACCUAUGAGUACUAUCCGGGAGACAGACUGCGGGUGCUAACGUCCGUAGUCAAGAGGAAAACAAUCCAGACCGCCAGCUAAGGCCCCAAAAUCAUAGUUAAGUGGGAAACGAUGUGGGAAGGCAUAGACAGCUAGGAGGUUGGCUUAGAAGCAGCCACCCUUUAAAGAAAGCGUAAUAGCUCACUAGUCGAGUCGGCCUGCGCGGAAGAUGUAACGGGGCUAAAACUAUGUGCCGAAGCUGCGGAUGUAUACUUUGUAUACGUGGUAGGGGAGCGUUCUGUAAGCCGAUGAAGGUGUGUUGAGAAGCAUGCUGGAGGUAUCAGAAGUGCGAAUGCUGACGUGAGUAACGACAAAACGGGUGAAAAACCCGUUCGCCGAAAGACCAAGGGUUCCAGUCCAACGUUAAUCGGGGCUGGGUGAGUCGACCCCUAAGGCGAGGCCGAAAGGCGUAGUCGAUGGGAAAAUGGUUAAUAUUCCAUUACUUCUGUGUAAUGCGAUGAGAGGACGGAGAAGGCUAAAUCAGCCUGGCGUUGGUUGUCCAGGUGAAAGGAUGUAGGCAUGUAUCUUAGGCAAAUCCGGGGUACUCUAUGCUGAGAUCUGAUAGCAAGCUGUACUUGUACAGCGAAGUGGUUGAUGCCAUGCUUCCAGGAAAAGUCUCUAAGCUUCAGUUACACAGGAAUCGUACCCGAAACCGACACAGGUGGUCAGGUCGAGUAGACCAAGGCGCUUGAGAGAACUC
rnacentral:rRNA from 1 species